UGCACUAUGAAACAAUCUUUGCAUGUGAUAUUUUCUUCACAUUUGAAGAAAUGAAAAUGGUAGCGCCCGGAUUGUCUUGUCAGGCAUUUAUAAGAAUGCUGGAUCUAAGAACCGUUCGCUUUGGUCGUACUGGAAAGAUCUCAGCAGACAGCUUCAUGAGAAGUUUUUUUGAGUGGGAGGCUGUGAGAUAGGAAGUUGACAGCCACUGCAAAUCAGAGCCCUUUGCCUGUCCUGCCUGCAGCCCAGAGAUGCUUGCGGUCUCUGUUGAUGGAAACCGCAAACAUUAUCGUUUUAAUAAUGCUGCCAGGUACAAUAAAAUGUCAGCAUAAAGAUCAAACACAUUACAAAUCACAGGUCUUAGUUAAUUAUAGAUUUACAUUUCUGCUUUUUACAGAUGUGAGGAAAAGGCCAUCUUUGAGGGUGUCUUUAUUGCUGACGAUGAGGACGUUACACAAUUUGUGGACCACAUUCAAAGCAAGGCAAAACAUGUGUCUGGGAAAGGUAAAUGUGGUGGUCAAUGGCAGGCGGCCAGAGAAACCUCCUUAAGGUCUAUCAGCAAGCUUGAUGAGGAGGGCCUUGAGCUUGCAGUGUGCCGGCAUGGAGUGCUCCUGCGGGCCCUUAAUAUGUACAGGGGAGAAAUUUUUGCGUAUCCCCUGUACUUGCAACAAAAGCUGCCCAACAGCAGUUUUUUUUGCAUGGAUGUGACCUGCAAAUAUUGGCCUUACCUCCAGAGGCUGGCCAAAAGCUGCCCAGAGCUACAGCCUCUUCUUGAUAUGAAGCCAUUCCUCUCUGUGUUUCAUGCCAAAGCCCAUAACUUCCAAUGUGAAGUGAAAUGGAGUGGAGCAUAUCAGGAAGGGGCGGGGCUAACUCUGGGUGAAGAAGUGGAGCAGGUCAAUGUCUUCCUCUCUCGCAUUGCAGUCACCACGAAGCAUAUGUCAAAAGCAGGUAUGAAAACACGGUAUUUCUAAUUAGGGAUGCACCAAUACCAGUACUGUAUUGGAUGUUGUUGCCGAUCCAGGCUUUGUAGCUGGAUUGGUGGAGAGGUAAACAUGGCUGAUACCGGAUAUUAUAUUAUUUACUGCACUUUAUCCAAAUAAUGAGCAGAGCAAUAAUGUGGCGAACUACAUAACUUUUUACACUGCCACUGACAAAUUAUUUCCACAUUAUGAGUUCUUUUCUGUUCCAAGUUAUAUCAUGUUAGAGGUUUAUUAUGUGUUAUAUAACAAUGUUUUAGUGUUUGCAUUAGUAUUGGUGGAUAUCAGGUAUCAACUGAUCCAAAAAGCCCAAAUAUCGAUAUCAGGACUGAAAAGGCUGGUUGGUGCAUCUCUCUCUUAAUAUUCUUACAGUAUCUCACAAAAGUAAGUACACCUCUCACGUUUUUGUAAAUAUGUCAUUUUAACUGUUUAUGGGAAAUAUCGGAACAUAUGACAACAUGCAAUUAGUCGGUGUACAACUUGUGUAAAUUUGCUGUCCAGUGUGCCUUGUCUAACCAAAAUGUAAGGGGUGUACUCACUUUUGUGAGAUAAUGUAGAUCUACUAUAAAUAUAUAGUAUUUCACUAGCAAGGACCACGCAUGAAGUGCCUGAAAUGUUCUUUAUAAAAACACGCGGUGAUGGAUGAAGGUGUGGAAGGUGAUGGCUAUGAGCAGACUCAGGAUGGGGGGUUCCGUAUCUGAAUAGCAUAGCCGGCUGACUGGAGACCCCCCUACUACAGUCUACUUGAGAGCAGCUGGAGACUGGAAGACAAAAACAUAACCCUGAAGGGAGGGUGUUUGAGAGAACACAGACAAACAGCUGGAGAUGUUUGUGAAGAUAGCAAAUGUGGCUGAGAUGUGGUAAACCUUGAAGUAGAGGUGUGUUUGAGAUGUAGUUGAGUCGUGGUCCUGCUCCCGAACCUACAUUUACAUGUUCACUUAAUGUGUGUCUUUUGUUAAAUGACCAAAAAUACUCUACUGCUUGCUACGGCCCCUGGUUUUACCACCAGUCUGCCUCCAGUUCAUGACCUUGGACAACUCCACUACACCGUACCUGCUAGGGUUCUUCCAUUCAGCACCAUGAAGAGCGACAUUCCCUGAACUCCCUUCAGCUGCAGCCUAUUCAGGACAGGUUUUUUUGUAGCCAGAUGAGGAGAAACAGGCAUAGAGAUAAAGCAGAGGGGCUAGAAAUGUAGCAAGAGAGCUCUAAGGAAGAUUUUGAGAGGUAAACAAGAAGAGUUACCUGAACCAGAUAGCAGGAGGUUGCUGCACACUAAGACAUAAGGCCCUGAGAUAAACUUGGAUUGGGAUAUUGCUGCAGUUGGAGAUUGACUCGGUGUUAGUGAUCCUAAAUCAUUUUGUUACUUAUCUCAGUCUUAAGCCUUUUUUGAGGACUUGAGUUGCAAAUGUUUGGUUUGGGCUCUGUGUUAUUUAGUCUCUCCCUUAUGAACUACUGACCCUGGGUAAGAUAGUUUAGUUUAAUUGAUAGUAGUUAAGAAUAUUUUUUGAGUUGCUUGGUUUUUAUUUUAUUCUAUUUUUCAUUGUUUACCUUAGGUAAGUCUUCUCCCAACUAGAGAGUUUUUAAUCUUGGUUGGGACACAUUUUGUAAUAAACUUUUUUAUUACAAAAAGGUUUAUUAUUGUUUUGAGCCUUCUGGUUCUUUCCCUCCCAAUCUAUUUGCUGUGUUCAUCCCAUCAGGGUUUCCUAGGCCUGUUCGGGUUGCAACAGGGCUUCCAGUACCACCGGAGGCAACGCAUGCCCAUGUAAUCACUGCCUCCAUCAUGUUUCACAUGUAUGUUGUGCUUUAGAUCCAGGGCUUUUCCAAACCUUCUUCAUACUUCUCUCCAUCAUUCUUAAAGACUGGUACAUACGAAUACAUAGAAGGCAAUUUCAAAACUGGGCUGUCUUUUUCAAAAUAAUUUGUAAGGCAAAUUCUAAUCUGUCGGGUUUAUUUGGUCUACACAAAACUGUAUUGUAUACUGUAUUGUAUUGAAAAUGAUAGCAGCCUCCCUUUCUGUUGCAGGACGUUCAGACAUGCUGACACGAAUGGCCAUGUGCUGGAAUCAGCAAAAGACCUCCAAUUUGGCUGUCUUCCUGUCUCACAGAUAUUUGAAAGUAAUAAUGGCAUCAAUUUGUCCUCUAUGAAUAGU